rnacentral:rRNA from 1 species
AGAACGAACGCUGGCGGCAGGCUUAACACAUGCAAGUCGAGCGCCCCGCAAGGGGAGCGGCAGACGGGUGAGUAACGCGUGGGAACAUACCCUCCGGUUCGGAAUAGCUCAGGGAAACUUGGAUUAAUACCGGAUACGGCCUAGCGGCGAAAGAUUCAUCGCCGGAGGAUUGGCCCGCGUCUGAUUAGCUAGUUGGUGGGGUAAUGGCCCACCAAGGCGACGAUCAGUAGCUGGUCUGAGAGGAUGAUCAGCCACAUUGGGACUGAGACACGGCCCAAACUCCUACGGGAGGCAGCAGUGGGGAAUAUUGGACAAUGGGCGCAAGCCUGAUCCAGCCAUGCCGCGUGAGUGAUGACGGCCUUAGGGUUGUAAAGCUCUUUCGCGUAGGGACGAUAAUGACGGUACCUAGACAAGACGCCCGGCUACUUCGUGCCAGCAGCCGC